GGGGAAUAUUGGACAAUGGGCGCAAGCCUGAUCCAGCCAUGCCGCGUGAGUGAUGAAGGCCCUAGGGUUGUAAAGCUCUUUCACCGGUGAAGAUAAUGACGGUAACCGGAGAAGAAGCCCCGGCUAACUUCGUGCCAGCAGCCGCGGUAAUACGAAGGGGGCUAGCGUUGUUCGGAUUUACUGGGCGUAAAGCGCACGUAGGCGGACUUUUAAGUCAGAGGUGAAAUCCCGGGGCUCAACCCCGGAACUGCCUUUGAUACUGGAAGUCUUGAGUAUGGUAGAGGUGAGUGGAAUUCCGAGUGUAGAGGUGAAAUUCGUAGAUAUUCGGAGGAACACCAGUGGCGAAGGCGGCUCACUGGACCAUUACUGACGCUGAGGUGCGAAAGCGUGGGGAGCAAAC
rnacentral:rRNA from 1 species